AAAGCAAAAAAAUGAAAACGGCAUUAUUUUUCGUCAUUGAAUUUGCAUAUUUUGGAUAUUUCUCUAUUUUAAUGGAGCAUAUACAAGAAGAAAUCUGUAAAGAAGGUACAGCAUCUCUAAAAAUAACAGUGAGAAACGAAGUGAGUUCAGU